GUGGGGAAUCUUGCGCAAUGGGCGAAAGCCUGACGCAGCCAUGCCGCGUGAAUGAUGAAGGUCUUAGGAUUGUAAAAUUCUUUCACCGGGGACGAUAAUGACGGUACCCGGAGAAGAAGCCCCGGCUAACUUCGUGCCAGCAGCCGCGGUAAUACGAAGGGGGCUAGCGUUGCUCGGAAUUACUGGGCGUAAAGGGCGCGUAGGCGGACAGUUUAGUCAGAGGUGAAAGCCCAGGGCUCAACCUUGGAAUUGCCUUUGAUACUGGCUGUCUUGAGUACGGGAGGGGUGAGUGGAACUCCGAGUGUAGAGGUGAAAUUCGUAGAUAUUCGGAAGAACACCAGUGGCGAAGGCGACUCACUGGCCCGUUACUGACGCUGAGGCGCGAAAGCGUGGGGAGCAAACAGGAUUAGAUACCCCGGUAGUCC
rnacentral:rRNA from 1 species